rnacentral:rRNA from 1 species
UGCAGUCGAGCGGGGAAGGAGCUUGCUACCUAACCUAGCGGCGGACGGGUGAGUAAUGCUUAGGAAUCUGCCUAUUAGUGGGGGACAACAUUCCGAAAGGAAUGCUAAUACCGCAUACGUCCUACGGGAGAAAGCAGGGGACCUUCGGGCCUUGCGCUAAUAGAUGAGCCUAAGUCGGAUUAGCUAGUUGGUGGGGUAAAGGCCUACCAAGGCGACGAUCUGUAGCGGGUCUGAGAGGAUGAUCCGCCACACUGGGACUGAGACACGGCCCAGACUCCUACGGGAGGCAGCAGUGGGGAAUAUUGGACAAUGGGGGGAACCCUGAUCCAGCCAUGCCGCGUGUGUGAAGAAGGCCUUUUGGUUGUAAAGCACUUUAAGCGAGGAGGAGGCUACUAGUAUUAAUACUACUGGAUAGUGGACGUUACUCGCAGAAUAAGCACCGGCUAACUCUGUGCCAGCAGCCGCGGUAAUACAGAGGGUGCGAGCGUUAAUCGGAUUUACUGGGCGUAAAGCGUGCGUAGGCGGCUGAUUAAGUCGGAUGUGAAAUCCCUGAGCUUAACUUAGGAAUUGCAUUCGAUACUGGUCAGCUAGAGUAUGGGAGAGGAUGGUAGAAUUCCAGGUGUAGCGGUGAAAUGCGUAGAGAUCUGGAGGAAUACCGAUGGCGAAGGCAGCCAUCUGGCCUAAUACUGACGCUGAGGUACGAAAGCAUGGGGAGCAAACAGGAUUAGAUACCCUGGUAGUCCAUGCCGUAAACGAUGUCUACUAGCCGUUGGGGCCUUUGAGGCUUUAGUGGCGCAGCUAACGCGAUAAGUAGACCGCCUGGGGAGUACGGUCGCAAGACUAAAACUCAAAUGAAUUGACGGGGGCCCG